UACGGAGGAUGCGAGCGUUAUCCGGAUUUAUUGGGUUUAAAGGGUGCGUAGGCGGCUUAGUAAGUCAGCGGUGAAAUUUUGCAGCUUAACUGUAACAGUGCCGUUGAUACUGCCAGGCUAGGAUUUGGUUGCUGUGGGUGGAAUGUGUGGUGUAGCGGUGAAAUGCUUAGAUAUCACACAGAAUAUCGAUUGCGAAGGCAGCUCACAAAGACCAAGAAUUGACGCUGAGGCACGAAAGUAGUGGGGAGUCAAACA
rnacentral:rRNA from 1 species